rnacentral:rRNA from 1 species
UGGGGAAUUUUGGACAAUGGGGGAAACCCUGAUCCAGCCAUCCCGCGUGUGCGAUGAAGGCCUUCGGGUUGUAAAGCACUUUUGGCAGGAAAGAAACGUCGCGGGUUAAUAUCCCGCGGAACUGACGGUACCUGCAGAAUAAGCACCGGCUAACUACGUGCCAGCAGCCGCGAUAAUACGUAGGGUGCAAGCGUUAAUCGGAAUUACUGGGCGUAAAGCGUGCGCAGGCGGUUCGGAAAGAAAGAUGUGAAAUCCCAGAGCUUAACUUUGGAACUGCAUUUUUAACUACCGGGCUAGAGUGUGUCAGAGGGAGGUGGAAUUCCGCGUGUAGCAGUGAAAUGCGUAGAUAUGCGGAGGAACACCGAUGGCGAAGGCAGCCUCCUGGGAUAACACUGACGCUCAUGCACGAAAGCGUGGGGAGCAAACAGGAUUAGAUACCCUGGUAGUCCACGCCCUAAACGAUGUCAACUAGCUGUUGGGGUCUUCGGACCUUGGUAGCGCAGCUAACGCGUGAAGUUGACCGCCUGGGGAGUACGGUC